rnacentral:misc_RNA from 1 species
GCAAACUUGGUCAUUUAGAGGAAGUAAAAGUCGUAACAAGGUUUCCGUAGGUGAACCUGCGGAAGGAUCAUUACCGAGUGAGGGCCCUCUGGGUCCAACCUCCCACCCGUGUUUUCCGAACCCUGUUGCUUCGGCGGGCCCGCCUCACGGCCGCCGGGGGGCUUCCGCCCCCGGGCCCGCGCCCGCCGAAGACACCUGUGAACGCUGUCUGAAGUUGCAGUCUGAGAAACUAGCUAAAUUAGUUAAAACUUUCAACAACGGAUCUCUUGGUUCCGGCAUCGAUGAAGAACGCAGC